AAUCAACGCUGGCGGCGUGCCUCAGACAUGCAAGUCGAACGAUUAAACUUUCCUUCGGGAAAGAUAUAAAGUGGCGCACGGGUGAGUAACACGUAAGUAAUCUACCCUCGAGUGGGGAAUAACGUUCGGAAACGGACGCUAAUACCGCAUAACGCAGCGGCACCGCAAGGGGACAGUUGUUAAAGGAGUAAUUCGCUUGAGGAGGAGCUUGCGGCAGAUUAGCUAGUUGGUAAGGUAACGGCUUACCAAGGCUACGAUCUGUAUCCGGUCUAAGAGGACGGUCGGACUCACUGACACUGAAUAACGGGUCAGACUCCUACGGGAGGCAGCAGUCGGGAAUUUUGGGCAAUGGGCGAAAGCCUGACCCAGCAACGCCGCGUGAAGGAUGAAGUAUUUCGGUAUGUAAACUUCGAAAGAAUGGGAAGAAUAAAUGACGGUACCAUUUAUAAGCUCCGGCUAACUACGUGCCAGCAGCCGCCGCCGUAA
rnacentral:rRNA from 1 species